rnacentral:misc_RNA from 1 species
UUUACUAAUUGUGUAGUUUGCUCGGACGUCACUGAUUUAACGGAAUUUAAUGGGCCUCCGACGGGCGCCCGCCGGCCCGGAAGCCGGGAAGGCGAGGCCCGCCAAAGCAACAAAGGUAGAUACACAGUGGGUGAAGAGUUGGGGGCCGAAACCCCCGGGAGCGCGAGGCCCCUCUCUCGGUAAUGAUCCUUCCGCAGGUUCACCUACGGAAA